CUUUAACAAUCCGGAACAAGCUGAAAAUUGAAACAGACACGCUGCUGCAUUUCUCCGUAAUAAGGAAUGCGCGGUGUGUCAGAGUCUCUCAAACUCGCAGCACGAAGACUUCUUCGG
rfam:Cronobacter sakazakii ATCC BAA-894, complete genome.